GGGUGUGGUGGCUCACGCCUGUAAUCCCAGUACUUUGGGAGGCUGAGGCUGGCAGAUCAUUUGAGGUCAGGAAUUCAAGACCAGCCUGGCUAACACCGUGAAACCCCAUCUCUACUAAAUAUACAAAAACUUAGCCGGGUGUGGUGGUGGGCGCCUGUAGUCCCAGCUACUCAGGAGGCUGAAGCAGGAGAAUUGCUUGAACCUGGGAGGCGGAGGUUGCAGUGAGCUGAGAUCGCGCCACCGCACUCCAG
rnacentral:lncRNA from 10 species